rnacentral:rRNA from 1 species
AUUGAACGCUGGCGGAAUGCUUUACACAUGCAAGUCGAACGGCAGCACGGGGGCAGCCCUGGUGGCGAGUGGCGAACGGGUGAGUAAUACAUCGGAACGUGCCCGGUCGUGGGGGAUAACGUAGCGAAAGUUACGCUAAUACCGCAUACGAUCUGAGGAUGAAAGCGGGGGACCUUCGGGCCUCGCGCGAUCGGAGCGGCCGAUGUCAGAUUAGGUAGUUGGUUGGGUAAAGGCCUACCAAGCCGACGAUCUGUAGCUGAUCUGAGAGGACGACCAGCCACACUGGGGCUGAGACACGGCCCAGACUCCUACGUGAGGCAGCAGUGGGGAAUUUUGGACAAUGGGCGCAAGCCUGAUCCAGCCAUUCCGCGUGAAGGACGAAGGCCUUCGGGUUGUAAACUGCUGUUGUACGGAACGAAAAGGCUCUGGCUAAUACCUGGGGCUCAUGACGGUACCGUAAGAAUAAGCAACGGCUAACUACGUG